GUUUGCUUCUACAGCACAUACACUAAAAAAAAUUGGAAUGAUACAGAGAUUAGCGUGGUCCCGGCAUAAGGAUAAGACGCAGAUUUACCAAGUAUUCCAUAUAAGA
ensembl:snRNA U6 U6 spliceosomal RNA